rnacentral:rRNA from 1 species
AUGGCCUCGCCCGAGUCGUCUCCUGGCCAGCUCGUCACAGUGCCGCCGUCCAACAUCGGCGAGCAGCUCCUCCGCCUGCUGGACAGCAAGGAGGGGGCCGACGUCACUUUCCAGGUGGGCAGAACCUGGCGCCGCCACUGGCACACGCUCGUGCUCGCCGCUCGAUCGCCGGUCUUCCACGCGACGUUCUUCAAGCAGCAGCAGACAAACGGCUCCCCGGCGCGUGGUCCCAUACGUGUCGAUGGCGUGGGGGAGGCCGCCUUCGAUGCGCUCCUCCACUUUGCCUACGCGGACGCGCUGCCCCCGGCGACUGCCGAGCUUCUCGCCGCCGGCUCGGCCGCGACCAGCACGAGGAUGGAGGCGGCUGGGGACUUGAUCGCCGCGGCCGACAUGUACGGCAUGGAGAGGAUGCGUCUCCUGUGCAAGGCCGUCGCCGACGCGGACACCGCGGCCGCCACGCUGGUGCUCGCCGUCCGGCUCCGCUGCACGCAGCUCAAGGCCUUCUGUGUCGAGUACAUCGCCUCGCCGGGAGUGUUGAAGGCCAUGAUCGGCUCCGUCGCGUACGUGUCGCUCAAGGAGUUCUGUCCGGAGGUUCUGGUCGAGAUCAUGGAGAAAGUCAUCGCCGCGCUUGUUGUGCAAGGAAUGGCAAUGGUAGCCCCUCGCCGACUUAUCUUAGCCGGACGAGACUUGCCUGCUCCUCAGCGUGCGCCCAUUCAUGCUCCCGCAUACGUGGCAUGA